CGCACCUUGCGCUCCUUGGUAUUCCGAGGAGCAUGCCUGUUUGAGUGUCUUGAAGUCAUCAACCCCUCCCGUUUUGUUGCGGGCGACGGUUGGAUCUGGGGGCUUGCUGCCGUGAGGCUGCUCCCCUCAAAUGCGUCGGUUGGACCUGUGGGUCGAACUCGAUUGGGCGUUGUAUUAUCCUCGCUCUGACCGAGAAGUUCCCCUCUUGCGUCCUUCCCCGACCUGCCUAUGGAGUGGCGGUCAACACAUUUUGAAAUCUGACCUCAAAUCAGGUAGGACUACCCGCUGAACUUAA
rnacentral:misc_RNA from 1 species